rnacentral:rRNA from 1 species
CCUACGGGUGGCUGCAGUGGGGAAUUUUGGACAAUGGGGGCAACCCUGAUCCAGCCAUGCCGCGUGAGUGAAGAAGGCCUUCGGGUUGUAAAGCUCUUUCGGCCGGGAAGAAAUCGCUCAAGCUAAUACCUUGGGUGGAUGACGGUACCGGAAGAAGAAGCACCGGCUAACUACGUGCCAGCAGCCGCGGUAAUACGUAGGGUGCGAGCGUUAAUCGGAGUUUGCGGAGGCGGCGCGUGCGCAGGCGGGUGAAAUCCCCGUGCUUAACCUGGGAACUGCGUUUGUGACUGUGGUGCUCGAGUGCGGCAGAGGGGGGUGGAAUUCCACGUGUAGCAGUGAAAUGCGUAGAGAUGUGGAGGAACACCGAUGGCGAAGGCAGCCCCCUGGGUCGACACUGACGCUCAUGCACGAAAGCGUGGGGAGCAAACAGGAUUAGAUACCCUUGUAGUC